rnacentral:rRNA from 1 species
GAUGAACGCUGGCGGCGUGCCUAAUACAUGCAAGUCGAGCGAACGGACGAGAAGCUUGCUUCUCUGAUGUUAGCGGCGGACGGGUGAGUCACACGUGGAUAACCUACCUAUAAGACUGGGAUAACUUCGGGAAACCGGAGCUAAUACCGGAUAAUAUUUUGAACCGCAUGGUUCAAAAGUGAAAGACGGUCUUGCUGUCACUUAUAGAUGGAUCCGCGCUGCAUUAGCUAGUUGGUAAGGUAACGGCUUACCAAGGCAACGAUGCAUAGCCGACCUGAGAGGGUGAUCGGCCACACUGGAACUGAGACACGGUCCAGACUCCUACGGGAGGCAGCAGUAGGGAAUCUUCGGCAAUGGGCGAAAGCCUGACGGAGCAACGCCGCGUGAGUGAUGAAGGUCUUCGGAUCGUAAAACUCUGUUAUUAGGGAAGAACAUAUGUGUAAGUAACUGUGCACAUCUUGACGGUACCUAAUCAGAAAGCAACGGCUAACUACGUG